CCUCCCUCUCUCUCUCUCUCUCUCCACAGGUCCUCUCUCUCGUCAUUUCAUCACCAUAAUUUGAUCCCUUUUUCCCAUACACAUAUUUGCAUGAAUUAGGGAUUAUAAUUAUAUAUAUCGCCGGACAACUACCUCUCAGUCAGUUAUUUUUUUUCCUUGUCCGUUUUUUUUAUGAGAGAGAGCGCACUAUUUUAUUAUUUUACAUUAUUAGUUUUUGAUCGAAGGAGGGUUGCGAGAGAUCCACAAGGUUUGGGGGAUUUUCUGGGGUUUUCAUGAAUUUUGGGUUUUGAGAAAAAAAAAUUCAGGGCUCCGGUGUUGUUGGAAUCCCCUGUUAUCAGGUAAUCUGAUGUUUGUGUAUUUUCGAUUUCAUGCGUAUCCGAAUCUGGAUUUGUUAGGUUUAAUUGGAAAGCUCAAUUAUUUGGCUGAAAUGUUUGUUAUUUUGGGAUGAAUCGGUGUGAAAGUGCGGAUUUUGGUGUUGCUUUUGGCUAUUGAAUUUUCAAAUGGUUUAAAUCUCUUCGCAACUCAUUCAAUGUUAAAAUUUGUCCUUUUUUGAUAAAUUCUUGUUACAAACCAUCUGGCUGUUUAAUGCAUGAAUUGUGGACCUUAAACGGAUGCUUUAAGAUUGGGAUUGGGAACGGAGGAGUGUUUUGACACACACAUGGGUGAAUUCAAUGUGUAUAAUUGAAGAGGUGGAGAAUCUGAGCGAAGUAGAAUUUGAGACUAUCAACAAGUGCCAGCCUUCUCCUUGAUGGAUAGCCUUAAAAUGGCCCCGGCAAGCGUCCCAAGCGCUGAGGAGAGUCAGCGUGUUAAAUUCUUAUGUAGUUUCAGUGGUAGUAUACUGCCUCGCCCCCAAGAUGGGAAGCUUAGAUAUGUUGGAGGUGAGACUCGGAUUGUGAGUGUUCCGCGUGAUAUAACUUAUGAAGACCUCAUGGGGAAGAUGAGAGAGCUCUACGAGGGUGUAACUGUUCUGAAAUACCAGCAGCCGGAUGAGGAUCUUGAUGCUCUUGUAUCUGUUGUAAACGACGAUGAUGUCACUAAUAUGAUGGAGGAGUAUGAUAAGUUGGGAUCUGCCGAUGGGUUUACUAGGCUGAGGAUAUUUUUGUUUGCUAAUCCUGAUCAAGAUGGUUCUUUGCAUUUUGGAGAUGGAGAUGAAAGGGACAAUGAGAGGAGGUAUGUGGACGCCUUAAAUAGCCUUAAUGAGUCUCCUGACAGGAAGCCACUUGGUGAGUCGUUGCUAGUUGGAUCAUUAGAUGACGUCCAAGCUGCUGAGCAAUACUUUACCCAGAUGAAUCUAGAGGGCAGCGUCCACGGCCAGAGAAACAUGGAAUUGCCGAUGGCUCAGAUGAAUCUGCGGCAUCUGACAAUUCCUCACCUAGGCUCAGGGCAGCCCCAGCAAGCAGUUAAUCAACGGUAUAAUGAAAUGGAGGCUCCAUGGAGUCCUGCGUACUACUCUCCUCGACAACCUAUAGAUCAGAGACCAGUUGCUGAAAUUCCGACUUCACCUUCAUCAACUCGUUAUCGAACACCAUAUGGGGAAUUUGAUAGAGUACCUGAGGAUUAUAACCGACCUCCAAUCAGUAAUCAUUCUAUUUACGAGCAACAGCCACAAUAUGCAGACAAUGUGGUGCUGAUUCCACCUGGCUCUGUGGGCAACAUGCUCCAAGGGUCCAAUGUCUAUGACGGAAACAGUGUUUGUGACCAUUGCCGGGUGCCAUUUCAAAGAAAUCAAGUUUUUCACGAUUCUUCUUGGAAGCCUGGUGAGCAGUCGCAUCUAGAGCCACCAAACGUUGGAAAUGGAUAUCUUCAGGUCCCUAAUUCUUGUUCCGAGUGCCCUCGACACCGAGACGUAUACAUGUUGAAUUCGGAUGGAAACCUGAACCCUCCAUACUACAGCAGGGAUCCUAACGAUCCCCGAUCAAUGUAUUCUGAAACCCAUGGUCAUGAAAGAGGAUGGGUUUCGCCGCAUCUGUCAAAUCCUUGGACUGAGGAACUGAGACCACAGCAAUCUUUAUCUGUGUCUGGAAGGUUAGCUGAAAGUUAUAUUGUGGACAAUGGGAUGAAUGUUCCACUCGGGCAUGGUAAUGUAUGUGAUGGACACCAUGUGCAAUCACACUACAUCCAUCAUGAUGAUCAACGCUAUGCUCGUCCUGGAGUUGACUAUGGCAGUCAAGGAUUUCAGGAUCCAUCGGCAGCAACUGGAUCACAGCUUCAUUUACAGUCUUCGGAGGAGCGUGGUGUUCGCUUCGGGAAUGCUCCCUAUGCAUAUGGAGCUGAUAAUGUAUACCAGGUUCCUCAUGGCCAUAUUCCUUCACAACCUCUGUGGAGAAAUGUUCAUAGCCCAUUGCAGGGCAGUCCCGCUUAUGAAACACCUUCUUCUCAGCUAGUUAAUGGCUCUGUUCCCAUGGGCUUCAUUCGUGGUGCUAUGGAGGCAAGUCCCAGGGUGAGAACUGGUUUAGAGAAUCAGAGUCCCUGGGCGGAGUCAUCGCAGAAAGUUGUGGCUUAUGAUGGUUCUCUCAUGUCAGACUUUCCUCAUGUCCGGCCUGUGAAAUUUCCUCCUCACGCCUACACUUUGGAGAAUCACCAUUCAUCUCAUAUGGAACCUGUCCAAUCAGCACCUGCGUUGACUACACUAGCUACUUCUAAAGAUCCAUUUCCAAAGUCUGAUCCGGUCUUACUAGUUGAUGAUGCAUCAGUGACUAUGAAUGUUGCUGCUUCUGGGAUAGAUCUCUGGAGUGGCUGUGAAACUAAUAAACCAGCUAUCAUUAAUGAGAAUGAUGCAUAUGAUGGGAGCAAAGAGAAAACUAAUGGAGCAGUGGCCAAAGAUUCAUGUGUUCGAGCAUCCAUUGAGAGGAAGUCAGAUGCUUUAGCAUCAUCCGCUGUCAUAAGUUCUGAUGUUCCAAAAUUUGCUAUUGAAAAUGGUGAUGCUUUAAAUGGCGACGAAACUAAAGCUGGUGCUCCUGAGCAGCAAGAUGAUAGAUUAGAAUUCUUGCCCGAGUUGAUUGAAUCUGUGAAGGAGGCAGCUUUACUGAGUUUGAAGGAGGUGAAAGCUAAAGUUCAAGAAGACUCUGAUUUGGGCAGUGCGCAUGAUGCUGAUACAAAGGAUGAUGCUCAAAACCACAAAGAUGGAGUGGAUGGCAACAUGGAGUUGGAGGUAGAUUCUGAAAAUGACAAUUUAGACCGCUCCAAGAUAGAGUUGACAAAAGCUGAGGCAGAAGCACUUGAUCGAGGAUUGCAGACAAUAAGAAAUGAAGAUCUGGAGGAAAUUCGGGAAUUAGGUUCUGGAACUUAUGGUGCUGUAUACCAUGGGAAAUGGAAAGGAUCAGAUGUAGCAAUAAAAAGAAUAAAAGCCAGCUGCUUUACUGGAAGACCAUCUGAAAGGGAACGUCUGAUUGCUGAUUUCUGGAAGGAAGCUCUGAUACUUAGUUCAUUGCACCAUCCAAAUGUUGUCUCUUUCUAUGGGGUGGUUCGUGAUGGCCCUGAUGGAUCUUUAGCAACUGUAACUGAAUUCAUGGUUAAUGGAUCUUUGAAACAAUUUCUUCAAAAAAAGGACAGAACAAUUGAUAGACGUAAGAGACUCAUAAUUGCAAUGGAUGCUGCAUUUGGCAUGGAGUACUUGCACGGAAAAAAUAUUGUUCAUUUUGACCUUAAAUGUGAAAAUCUGUUGGUGAACAUGAGAGACCCACAUCGUCCAGUGUGCAAGAUUGGCGACCUGGGCUUAUCGAAGGUAAAACAGCAUACUUUAGUGUCGGGAGGUGUUCGUGGCACAUUACCAUGGAUGGCACCUGAACUCCUGAGUGGAAAGAGUCAUAUGGUGACAGAAAAGAUUGAUGUUUACUCAUUUGGGAUUGUCAUGUGGGAACUGCUUACGGGUGAUGAGCCAUAUACGGAUAUGCACUGUGCUUCUAUAAUUGGUGGGAUUGUGAACAACACGUUGCGCCCACAAACACCUACAUGGUGUGACCCGGAAUGGAAGUUGUUGAUGGAAACUUGCUGGGGUUCAGAACCAGCGGAGAGGCCAUCGUUCUCAGAAAUAGCUCAGAAGUUAAGAAAUAUGGCUGCAGCAAUGAAUCUGAAAUGAUGCUUUCACUGAAGAGAAUUUUUAGACUUUUUGUGGGAGUACAAAGGUGUAAAGAGAAGCGUAUACCUCCUAAAAAUAAUCCAUAUUAUAUUACCCUCUUCGUCCAUGAAAUGCAAUAAUAUUAGUCUUUUGUUUGAUGGAGCUUUUAAACACGCCUUCAGACGUUGCAGCUGGCUAAUACUCUGUUUGGAAGAUGGUUGGGUGUGGAUGAUGCUUCUCCUCUUCUUCUACCAGAGAUGUGUAAAUAUAUUUAAGCAAUAUGGAGUUUUACUUUCCCGUUUAAUCCUCACCUUAUCGUGUAAAUUUCCACAUUAGUGUAAAUUCAACGCCCGAUUAUCGUCUUUGGUGCUCAUCUUCUCGAAAGUUUUGGUACGUAGAAGUUGGCACGUUGCCAGAGAGUGAUUUGUUGGUUAAUAAAUUUUGUAGGAAGCCUUCUGGUGGCUUAGGAGAUGGAGAUACUAUACUCUUUUUCAAAUAGGAUUAGGAAUGUUAUGUGAAAGCUAUUUAUAUUCCAUUACAUUUCUGGAUGUCAUAUGUCAAGACUCUGUUUUUCGAUUAAAAUUGAAUGAGGAAUGAUUUAUUUUCUUA